rnacentral:rRNA from 1 species
GACGAACGCUGGCGUCGUGCCUAAUACAUGCAAGUCGAACGCAGUGGGGACGGGUGAGUAACACGUGGGUAACCUCCCAUCAGAGGGGAUAACACUUGGAAACAGGGGCUAAACCGAAACUGAUGGAUGGACCCUCGGUGCAUUAGCUAGUUGGUGAGGUAACGUCUCCCCAAGGCCACGAUGCAUAGCCGGCCUGCGAGGGGUGCCGGCCACACGGUGACUGAGACACGGCCAUGACUCCUACGGGAGGCAGCAGUAGGUAAUCUUCGGAAAUGGACGAAAGUCUGACCGAGCAACGCCGCGUGAUUGAAGAAGGUUUUCGGAUCGUAAAACUCUGUUGUUAGAGAAGCGGUAUCUAACCAGAAAGCCACGGCUAACUACGUGCCAGCCGCCGCGGUAAUAC